UAAUAAAAAUAAAACUGAAAUGAUUGAUAAAAAGAGGAGAGAGAAUAAAAUAUUCGCAGCUUUAGCUUUGUCUACAACGAUUCCAUAGCAGUCAACAUGAUGUCUCUCUUUGCCUUUUGUGACAACUCAAAAGUCGUUCCAUAAUCGGCAACACCUCAGCUCAGCUCAGCCCAAUUAUUGAAGAUCACUGUGACAGCUUAGAGGCGGUUUCUGUGUUCAGUUUUUCAAUUUGGGCUCUCUGUGUAGAGAAAUUCGUUUCUGGGUCUUCUGGGUCGGAUCAAUUCUGGAAUUCGGUUUUGAAUACCUGCA